UUAUUCUUUCUUUCUUCCAAAUCCAUUUCUAAAGUUCCAAGUACUUUCUCCAUCACCCACAUCCACCAUUAGCCACCACAAACCAUCAUUUUUCUCCAUUGAAAACCCACACCGAGAGGAACCCUUCAACCGAAGCAGAAUUUCCAACUUGGCUUGCGAUUUCGGUAGAGAACGAAAACCCUAAUCUGAUCUUUCGUUUUCUUUCGAGAGGCUUGUGUGGAAUCGACAAGCAAGGAAAAAAAGGAAUCUUCAAGUGACG
rnacentral:lncRNA from 1 species